AGUGAACGCUGGCGGUAGGCCUAACACAUGCAAGUCGAACGGCAGCACAGUAAGAGCUUGCUCUUACGGGUGGCGAGUGGCGGACGGGUGAGGAAUACAUCGGAAUCUACUUUUUCGUGGGGGAUAACGUAGGGAAACUUACGCUAAUACCGCAUACGACCUACGGGUGAAAGCAGGGGAUCUUCGGACCUUGCGCGAUUGAAUGAGCCGAUGUCGGAUUAGCUAGUUGGCGGGGUAAAGGCCCACCAAGGCGACGAUCCGUAGCUGGUCUGAGAGGAUGAUCAGCCACACUGGAACUGAGACACGGUCCAGACUCCUACGGGAGGCAGCAGUGGGGGAUAUUGGACAAUGGGCGCAAGCCUGAUCCAGCCAUACCGCGUGGGUGAAGAAGGCCUUCGGGUUGUAAAGCCCUUUUGUUGGGAAAGAAAAGCAGCAGGUUAAUACCCCGCUGUUCCGACGGUACCCAAAGAAUAAGCACCGGCUAACUUCGUG
rnacentral:rRNA from 1 species